rfam:Pseudomonas sp. FeS53a scaffold12.1, whole genome shotgun sequence.
GGCCCGGCUCUUGCUGAGCCUCCCCCAGGUAGCCAACGGCGGUUGCCCACCGAACGACAAAGGCGUCGC